UCAAUGCCCAACACUCAGGUUUCAACGACUUUUUAUAUACAAUUUCCACUCAAUACUCAAUCCUGUCGUUUAUCUCUCCGAUUCAGCUAUUGCAAAAUAAUAUUCUAACUAAUAGCUUUAAGCUUUCUGGUUACUACACAAUUCCUCUACAGUGGACUUGCACAGACUGAUGUGUAAACAUGUGAACUUUUUGUCUCAAUCUAUUAUGAUGUUUGACUCCCAGCCCUAUUACUUUUUACCAAUCAAACAUUUUAAACUGGAAGAAUAUUUC